rnacentral:rRNA from 1 species
UACGUAGGGUGCAAGCGUUGUCCGGAAUUAUUGGGCGUAAAGAGCCUCGUAGCGGUUUGUCGCGUCGAAUGUGAAAACCCGGGGCUCAACCCCGGGCCUGCAUUCGAUACGGGCAGACUAGAGUUCGGUAGGGGAGUCUGGAAUUCCUGGUGUAGCGGUGGAAUGCGCAGAUAUCAGGAGGAACACCGGUGGCGAAGGCGGGUCUCUGGGCCGAUACUGACGCUGAGGAGCGAAAGCGUGGGGAGCGAACAGG